UACGGAAGCAGCAGUGGGGAAUAUUGCACAAUGGGCGCAAGCCUGAUGCAGCCAUGCCGCGUGUAUGAAGAAGGCCUUCGGGUUGUAAAGUACUUUCAGUCGUGAGGAAGGUGUUAAGGUUAAUAACCUUAGCAAUUGACGUUAGCGACAGAAGAAGCACCGGCUAACUCCGUGCCAGCAGCCGCGGUAAUACGGAGGGUGCGAGCGUUAAUCGGAAUUACUGGGCGUAAAGGGCACGCAGGCGGUUAAUUAAGUUGGAUGUGAAAUCCCCGGGCUUAACCUGGGAAUGGCAUUCAAGACUGGUUAGCUAGAGUCUUGUAGAGGGGGUAGAAUUCCAUGUGUAGCGGUGAAAUGCGUAGAGAUGUGGAGGAAUACCGGUGGCGAAGGCGGCCCCUGGACAAAGACUGACGCUCAUGUGCGAAAGCGUGGGGAGCAAAC
rnacentral:rRNA from 1 species